rnacentral:rRNA from 1 species
UACGUAGGUGGCAAGCGUUGUCCGGAUUUACUGGGCUUAAAGGGUGCGUAGGCGGGCCAUUAAGUCAGUGGUGAAAGCUCCGAGCUUAACUCGGAAUCUGCCAUUGAUACUAUUGGUCUUGGAUUCGGUCGAGGUUGGCGGAAUGUGUCGUGUAGCGGUGAAAUGCUUAGAUAUGACACAGAACACCGAUUGCGAAGGCAGCUAGCUAGACCGACAUUGACGCUGAGGCACGAAAGCGUGGGGAUCAAACAGG